rnacentral:rRNA from 1 species
ACAACGAAGAGUUUGAUCCUGGCUCAGGAUGAACGCUAGCGGCAGGCCUAACACAUGCAAGUCGAACGGUAACAGAUCUAGCUUGCUAGAUGCUGACGAGUGGCGCACGGGUGCGUAACGCGUAUACAAUCUACCUUUAACUGAGGGAUAGCCCAGAGAAAUUUGGAUUAAUACCUCAUAGUAUUAUAUUAAGGCAUCUUUUUAUAAUUAAAACUCCGGUGGUUAAAGAUGAGUAUGCGUCCUAUUAGCUUGUUGGUAAGGUAAAAGCUUACCAAGGCUACGAUAGGUAGGGGGCCUGAAAGGGUGAUCCCCCACACUGGUACUGAGACACGGACCAGACUCCUACGGGAGGCAGCAGUGAGGAAUAUUGCACAAUGGAGGAAACUCUGAUGCAGCCAUGCCGCGUGCAGGAUGAAUGCCCUAUGGGUUGUAAACUGCUUUUAUACAAGAAGAAACCUCGGUACGUGUACCGACUUGACGGUAUUGUAUGAAUAAGCACCGGCUAACUCCGUGCCAGCAGCCGCGGUAAUACGGAGGGUGCAAGCGUUAUCCGGAUUUAUUAGGUUUAAAGGGUCCGCAGGCGGAAUAUUAAGUCAGUGGUGAAAGCCUACAGCUCAACUGUAGAACUGCCAUUGAAACUGUUAUUCUUGAGUAUGGAUGAAGUGGGCGGAAUAUGUCAUGUAGCGGUGAAAUGCAUAGAUAUGACAUGGAACACCAAUUGCGAAGGCAGCUCACUAAACCAUUACUGACGCUCAUGGACGAAAGCGUGGGGAGCGAACAGGAUUAGAUACCCUGGUAGUCCACGCCGUAAACGAUGAUCACUAGAUGUUGGCGAUAUAAUGUCAGCGUUCAAGAGAAAUCGAUAAGUGAUCCACCUGGGGAGUACGUUCGCAAGAAUGAAACUCAAAGGAAUUGACGGGGGCCCGCACAAGCGGAGGAGCAUGUGGUUUAAUUCGAUGAUACGCGAGGAACCUUACCAAGGCUUAAAUGUAAUGUGACCGGUUGAGAGAUCAACCUUUUUUCGAACAGAUUACAAGGUGCUGCAUGGUUGUCGUCAGCUCGUGCCGUGAGGUGUCGGGUUAAGUCCCAUAACGAGCGCAACCCCUAUUUUUAGUUACCAGCGAGUAAUGUCGGGAACUCUAGAAAAACUGCCUGUGCAAACAGAGAGGAAGGUGGGGAUGACGUCAAAUCAUCACGGCCCUUAUGUCUUGGGCUACACACGUGCUACAAUGGUUACUACAAUGUGAUGCCAUCUGGUGACAGAGAGCUAAUCAAUAAAGGUAAUCUCAGUUCGGAUUGGAGUCUGCAACUCGACUCUAUGAAGUUGGAUUCGCUAGUAAUCGUAUAUCAGCCAUGAUACGGUGAAUACGUUCCCGGGCCUUGUACACACCGCCCGUCAAGCCAUGGAAGUUUGGGGUACCUGAAGUCAGUAACCGCAAGGAACUGCCUAGGGUAAAACGAAUAACUAGGGCUAAGUCGUAACAAGGUAGCCGUACCGGAAGGUGUGGCUGGAAUAUCUCUUUU